rnacentral:lncRNA from 1 species
ACUCCUCAUUUUCACUAGGCUCUGGUGAAACCUUGACCCCUUGUUUCUUUCCUCCCAGGUGAAUUCCAUGGCCACAUGCUCAGCUGUUUGGUGAUUGCAAGUGGACAACUCCAUGCCAGCUACCACCCUUCAGAUGUUGAAACCUAAGUCAACUCCAGACCCCUGAGAUGGCAACACAGCCUCUACAGUGUGUGGGUGGAAGCCAGGCCUCCCAUACCUCCAUCUGCCUGUGGCCUGUCUGAGAGGGCCCCAGAGGAAGCACACAGAAGCGCCUGCUCUGCUCUGCUGACAUGAAAUCUGAACAUGCAUAAACCAGCAGCAAGGUGCACAGUGCUGCCACCAGCCCCGUGGCUUCCUCCCACCUCCGUGGACAGAUCUCAUGGGAUGUGGCCUCAGCUAGAACGCUGAAGAUGUUGUUGGACACACUGUUGCCAAACUGUAUCUCCAUGAAUCUUCGCUUAUUGAGUCUCUAGGCAUGGUACAAAAAAGCCCACUUGACUAUGACCCAAUGGGAACAGGGACAGCUGUUGUGCUGGGAGCAGU